GGUUAGGGAUCUCUGCAUGGCUUUCAUCUUGGAAUUAAGAACAAAGGAAGCAGAGAAUUUGAAGUUUAAACUUAACAUGGUGGUGCAAGCCUGUAUUUUCUCUUGUUGAUUGAAAUGGGAAUAUGAGUGGACCCUCACUUUGGAAUUCAGACAAAUCUGAACUAAUCAAAGCUACAGAUGUGUGUAUUUAUAACAAAACUCAUGCAGAUGGCUGACAGCCUGUCUCGCUCCCAUCAGAGACACCCCACCAGCUCCUUUAGGAGUUCAGCACUGCAUUUGGCCUGUUCUGAUCCUCCUGAUCCCCUCAUUUCUGCGCUGCAACACCACCAUCCACAAGAAAUCAGCGGAUGUACCCAGCACCACCUUGGCUACAUGGAAAUCCAAAGGAAAGAAGCAGAGAUGCUGAGGGCAAACACUUUGUGGCUCAGAAGCAUUUCCUUGCUAUCUGAAAAAGCCUCCUUACAGUAGCUAUUCAAAAACUUACCCACCCAAAUGACUGUGCCCAUUUGCUCCACGAUUAUUGCUGUUGAAGAGGCCUUGGUGUCAGUGUUUUGCUUUCCUCUGUGCUGCCCACAAGUAAAGGCUCUGGGUCUGUUCAGCUACAUGACACUAGAAAAGCUCUGAAAAGCAGCAUCUGAAAGAUGGAAGAGAGCAGUGUCUGUUUUGAGACCAGAAAGACAUGAGAGAUUCAGUCAGUGGGUUGAUUUCCUGUCCCCCAGCCCUGUGAGAUACCAGUUUGACCCAGAGGAGUUUUCUGUGAAAAUGAGUGAACAAAGCUGCCCUAAAAUGUUUUUCUUGGAAAGAUGACUAUCUUGUGAGAUUGUAAAAGGAACACAGUACCUCAUCAACAAUGCCUAAGGACACUAUUUCCAUUACUGUAGCUGUUGCAAGCCUGAUUCCCAAGUGUUUGAUUCCCAAGUCUCUGUGAAGUGUUUGCUCAAAGGGUGAAUCAGUUACUCUUACUGGAAGUUCCAGCUUCUGGUCUGAAUCAGAUACUUGCCUCUCUGAGGUCUUGCUGAG